AAAAAAAAAUCAUCAGGGAUGCAAAAGGAAGCAGGAAAGAAUGAACCACAAUGGGGAGAAAAAUUAAUUAACUGAAAGAGUCCCAGAAAUGACAGAGAUGAUAGAAUUGGUAAAUAAGGACACUAAAACAUACUUACAACUAUAUUCUGUAAGUCCAAGAAAGUAGAGGAAAGAUUGAGUUAAGUAGAGAUGUGGAAAACUUAAAAAAGACCCAAAUCAAACAUUAGAUAUUAUAAAACCAUUGUCUGAGAUUUUUAACACACACACAUGCACACAUCACUUGUACAGGAUGAACAGCAAGUUAGACGUUACUGGAAAAAAAAAAAAUUAAAGAACCAGAAAAUGUUGGAAUAGAAACUAUCCAAAAUGAAACACAAAUAGAAAAAAGUAAAGACUGAAACUAGAAAUGAACAGAGUAUCAGUGAGCUUAAUAUAUAUGCAACUGGCAUCCCUGAAGAAAAGGAGAAAUAUCAGAAAUACAUAUUUGAAAAAAUAAUGGCUGAAAACUUCCCAUAUUUGAUUAAAACUAUAAAUUCACAAAUCCAAGAAGCUCAACAAACUCUAAGUAGAAACAAGAAGAAAACUAUACCAAAGAACAUCUCAAUUAAAUUGCUUGCAACCAGUGAUAAAGUGAAAAAUCUUAAAAACAGAGGGAAAAAGACACAUUACAGUGCAGAGGAACAAAGAUCAGAAUGUCAGGAGACUUCUCAUCAGGAAUAUGCAAAUGAGGAGACAGUGAAGCAGCAUCUUUAAAGUACUCAAAAAGAAAACUGUCAGUUUAGGAUUCUUUCCCCAAACAUGUAUUUCAAACACAAGACAAAGACAUAUCUGACACACAAAAGCUGAAAGAAUUCACCACCAGCAGACACUACAAGAAAUGUUAAAAGAAACUCCUUCAGGUAGAAAGAAAAUACAGCCAGAUGGAAAUUUGAAUCUACGUAAAGGAAUCAAGCGCUCAAGAAAUCAUAAAUCUGUAGGUAAAUAAUUUUUUUCCCUUUUAAAACUCUUUUAAAAGAUAAUAGCUUAAUGCAAAAAUAAAAACAAUAUGGGGGGGUUAUAAUAUAUGUAGAAAUAAAAUGUAUGAUGACAGCACAACAUCCAGAAAGGGGGAAGUAUCUGUUGUUGUAAUAUUCUUAUACUAAGCAUAGCGUGGUGUAAUAUACUUGAAGGUAAACUGUGAUAAGUUAAAGAUGUAUACUCCAAAAUAUAUAUAUAAAAUAAAAUAAAAAGAUGUAUACUCCAACUCUUAAAACAACUGCCAUAAAAGUAAAACAAAGAGUUGUAGCUAAUACAUCAACGAAGAAAAUAAAGCAGAAUCAUUAAAAAAAAAAAGUCACUCGAAUCCAAAAGAAGGCAGUAAAUGAGGAGAAAGGAAAGAAAAAUGGAUUGAGAAAGAAAAAACACAUAGCAAGAUGGUAGAUUUAAAUUCAUGCAUAUAAGUAAUCACCCCAGUUAAAAGGCAAAGAUUGUCAGACUGGAGAAAAAAGCAAGAACCAACUGUAUGCCAUCUAUCAAAAGAAAUCACUUUAAAUAUAAAGACAAAUAAGUUAAACGAUUGAAAAACAAUGUACCAUGCUAAUGAUAAUCAGAAGAAAUAUGGGUGGUUAUAUUGAUAUCAUACAAAGUAGAUUUCAAUACAAAGAAUAUUACCAGAAAUAAAGAGGAUCAUUUCAUAAUGAUAAAGGAGUCAAUCCAUCAAGGGGAAAAAACAAUUCUAAAUAUUCAUGCAUCUAGUACAAAGCUUCCAAAUAUAUGAAUCAAAAACGGACAGACUUUCAAGGAGAAAUAGAAAAAUCCAUGAUUACAAACUAAUUUCAGCACCUCUGUUUCCAUAACUGAGCAAUUAGGCAGAAAAUCAGUAAAGAUAUACAAGGCUUGUACAAUACUGUCAACCAACUUGGCCUAAUUGACAUUUAUAGAACACUACACGCAUAGAUAGAAUAUCAUUUUUUUCAAGUGAAUACGGAACGUGUCUUGGUAAAACCUGCCAUAAAACAAGUCUCAAUAGAUUUAUAAGGAUUCACAUCACAUAAAACAUACUCUGACCACAACGGAAAUUAGAAAUCAUUAACUUAGAAGUAUCUGGAACAUCCCCAAAUAUUUGGAAACUAACAUGCUUCUAAAAAAACAAAAACACCCCACCGUUUAAGGAAUAAAUAGAAUGAAAAUUAGAAAGUACUGUGGGCUGAAUGAUGGUGAAAACACUCUUAUAAAGGCUGGGACUCAACACCUUGAAAUACCGCACUGAGAUCAGUGAUUUGAGUUGAGACCCGUCUUCUCUUCUAAUACAGAUAUAUUAGUGCUAUGAACUCCUCACUAAGUUUUGCUUCAGCUACAUCCGUCAAAUUGUGACGUGUGCUUUUUUUUUCUCUGCGAGAAUAUUAUGAGGAACGGUGUCAACUGACUUGCCGAAAUCCAAUGACAAGAUAUCUAUGACACGCCCUGAUCUCAAAUACAACAAUUACUCCAUCACAGACUUUUAAAGGCUAUAAAGUUUGGCCUGACUUACCCUUACUGAAUCUAUGCUGUUCUCAUGGUCCACUUUCCUCUAGAUUUGUUUUCUUCAUUCAUUUAUUUAAUAAACAUGUACAGCACACCUACCGCCCACCAGGGAGCAUAGGAUAAGAUAGCCUAGGAGACUUACACGCAACUGUUUGAUAAUUGUGUCCCAAAAGAUUCAAAAAUCAGCAUCAAGUUCAGUAGCCUGUGGCUUCUACAACUCUGUUGAUCUGGGGCAGGCAAUGAGACCUGUCUGUCCAAUACCCAUUCCUUGCAGGGUCCUGGCUAUCAGAAGCCUGAUUUUAUUCAGAGUGAUCUCUUGCCCAGCCCCGAGAAAAGAGUGAAUCAAAGUAUCUGAGUUAAUUAUGAUAAUCUUGUUCUCUAAUAGUCUAACUGUCCCCCGCAGCCAAGAUGGUCUUAUGACCCAGUUCUGGGCAAUGACACCUAAGAGAAAAUCAAACUUGAGGAUUUCUGGAGAAGUGUUUCUUUCCUAGGAAAAGGGAACAGAUACAGCUGGCACUGCUUCUUUUUCACUUUUUUUCCCCAUUUGCUCUAUAAUUUAAUGUCCAAACCCCACAUUAUCAAUCACACACCUCUGGAUUUUAAGCCACUGAAAUCUUUUUUUCUGUUACAGACAAAUUGCAUUCCUGACUCAUAUUUAAUUUUUAAGCACAGUGAUUCCGGCUGCUAGAAUAACUCAAACAUAUGGGAGAAAAAGAGCAUUGAGAAAUAGUCCCUGCCAGUAUAUCACGCUGGGGGAUGGCAAUGGACGUGACCUUGGAGCCUGCCAUUUAGAACGUACCUUAGGCCAGAAGAGAAUGGAAUCCCCUCUGACUCACUUUUACCACAUGUGUGACAGAACAGAUUUCCCAAAAGAACAAUUUUCCAAAGUAAAGAGUGUUAUCAACCCAGUUUCCAAUGAUCUAAAUUGCCUGAUAUAAAGUGAAACCUGAAUAAGCAUGAUGCCGCUGAUUGCGGUUUCAACCAGAUAUUUUCUGACGGUCAUCAUCAUAUUAUUCCUUAAAAUAUUUGAAGUUUAUUACAAGGAUGACCUCCAACAUGAAGCGAGCCAAGUAUGCACACUGCUUGGAACUGAAACGUACUGUAUGGCUGUAAUUAUUGGCAACACUGGAGGCAGUUUAUCUGAUUGUAUCAAAGCUUUCUUUUAAACCUCAAACAGGUAAAAUAUUAUCACUGGGGCUCUUCACCCCCUGUUCAAUGACUGAGAUACAAAAGAAAUGCUAAUUAUGGGAAUUGAGCUGUGAAUUUUGAGUGACCCUAGGGACAAAAUGAUUAUCUGGUUGUCUUAAGUUGCGGGGAAAUUUAUUAGGGGGUUUUAAGAUUACAUUAACUGAUUUUUACCUUAAGUGCUCCACCUGGAGAAGCAUUAAAGUCUCCUGAUAAGGAAUGAUUUCAAAGAGGUAAUGGCAUUGGCCAGAAGACUUUUUUUUUUGGUGAGUCAGGGGUACUGUAAGGAGAAAGCCCAAGUGAGGUGGAUGUGUCCUGCUGGGGCCAUGUGAUGGGCUUGGCACUUCGACUAGGGCUCACUAGAGCCCCUACUCAUCUCCUAUUUCUGACAGUGAUGAAUGCCAGAGACCAAAGAGGAAGAAUAAUAUAUUUACAACAAAGGUCAUAGAAUGAGGCCAAGGACCCAGUUACAUUUCUGCCCCAUUAUGACCUUAGAUUGCAUCCCUGCCUCUAAAAGCCAAACAUCUUCUUAGGAUCUGUGAGCGAUGACAUGCUCUUACCUGUGCUGACCUCUGUUGCCUUGUCUUCUACCGUCUCCCCUACCCCAAAACCUCCACUUUGCCCCAGUCCCCAAGGCCAUCUCUUUGUUCUUGGACCAUCCCAAGCUCACCCCUGGCUCAGGGCUUCUGUAUUUAUUGUCCUCUCUGCCAGGAACAUUCCUUCUCUAGGUAUUUGCAUGGCUGACUCAUUCUCAUGUUUCAGUCUGAGCUCAGUUAGCAACUUUCUGUCCCCUGCUUUGGCACUUUCCUUCAUACUGUCCUAUUUUAUUUAUAGCACUUAUCACUGUCUGAAAGUAAUCUCUUGAUUUAUUUUCUUCAUGUUGUCAGUCUUCCCCAUUAGACUGUGAGCUCCAUGAGAGCGGGGAUCGUCUAUGUCUUGAUCACUGCUGCAGCCCCCCAGGCUUAGCAGAGAGAAAGCACCAGAAAUACAUUUGGUGGGUAAAGGAAUGAAUGAUCAUCAUAAUAGCUACAUUUAUUGAGCUUUUCGUCUGUACCAGGCACAGGGCCGCAAAUACUCUCUCACUGAAUUCUCACAGCAACCCUCCAAGGUAGGUAUUUCUUAUCCCAUGGUACAGAUUAGGUUUCAGAGAGUUUAUGUGGCUUUUCCAAUGUCAAAGCAAGCAAGUAACUAAGACCUGAUUUGAACCGAGGUAUGUUUAACUCCCGCGUUACACUCUAAAUCAGGAGUCAGCACGCUUUUUUCCAUAAAGGGCCAGAGAGUAAAUAUUUAAGGCUUUAUGAGCCAUAUGGUCUCCGUUGCAACUCCUCACCUCCAUUGCAGAAACAACCACGACUAUACAUAUACAAAGGGGCGUGGCAGUGUGCCAGUACAACUCUAUUUACAAGCCGUGGGCAGGAUUUGGCCCAGGGACCAUAAUUUGCAGAUCCCUCCUUUAAAUCAUCAUUCUAUCUGUGCUUUGCUAGAAGGGGGUUAAGCAAAAGAGGAGGAGGAAAGUAAAAGAAAAGCAUUAAAAUGCGUGCCCUUCAAAUAAGAAAGACAGCAGGUGGAUAGACUAAGUUUAAAAAAGCAAAAUCGGCAAUGGAGUUCUGGUAAGAGUUAUGACUCUACUUCUUCAACUUCUCAACUAACUUAUAACCAUCACUGAGACCACAGGAGAGUUUGACGCAAAUACGGUAUUCUGUUUGAACCAAGUUUCCAUUCAUAUUGUAAUUAUCCGUGAUUUCACCUGCCAACACCCUAAUAGACCACACAUACCCUCCAUCCCAAGCAGACCCGAGAUAGGCAAGAUUGAAGGAUAAAGUAUCCCAAGGCACUGUGACGAUUAAAGCUCUUCCUCUCUCAACCACUGAGCCUGAAAACUUCAGUCUUUUCUUCUCAAGCAAAGGUAUGAGUUUGUUGGCAAAAGGUGAAAGACAAGAUAUGAAUCACAGGUCAGAGCCAGCCCAGAGAAAUCUCCCGCAGCCUCAUGGAGAAGGUGAACAUAUUGGUGCCCAGGGGUUUAAUCAGAGUGUCUCUCGAGACUGAAUAUCAGCAUUAACAUGAAAGACCAACUCACCAGUCCCUUGAGCCUGGGCUGCAGGGUAAGGGCUGAACUUUGGGAAGAUGGGAGGUAGGGACAAAGGUGGUUUCUACAGCGCUUGGCUAUGCCGGAGCCUUGGGGGCAAGGCCUCCUCUCUGCCCUGUUUUUCUCUCAGGUAGCCCUAGGGCAUUAGAAACACUGUAGACAAAAUACUCAUUUCUCUCUUACCCUGAAGAAAGUGCCCCUCUGGAAACAGCACGUGGCUCUUAAACCAAGAGGUGCAUUUUCCUCAAUCUGUAUGCAAUUUUCUAAACAUGGGCUUUAAAUGUUUGAAUAGUGACAAACAUUCAAACCUUAGUCAGGCUCCUGAAGCUUUUCCGAGGCCCAUGUGUGUGCUUUCUUGUAAAAUCCAGUUUUUCUAAGAACGCUGCUAAGUCAGUUUCACCAGAGCCCCCAUCUUUGAUAUCUGAUUGGGUUCCUUAUCCUCUGCCAUCCCCCAGGUGAUAUCUGACACCCGAGACUACAGCAAAGAAUCCUGUUGGGUCAGUUUACCGAGAAUCCCCCUCACCCAUGAUGUUUCUUCUUGGUAAUUUUCCACCCACUGACCCCCAACCUGCCCCUUAGCUGUAAAUCCUCACUUGCCCAGGCUGUACUUGGAGUUGAGCCCAAUCUCUCACCCCCACUGUAAAAUCCCAUUGCAGUGGUCCCUAUAUUUAUCACAGUGGUCCCAAGUAAAGCCUGCCUUGCCACCUUUAACAAGUGUUGUUAAUUUUUUCCCCUCUAACACAGGAAGGCAGCCCCAGCAUGGUAGAACCAGCAUCUAGAGAUGCAACAUCUGACCCAGCUCUGCAUUAACCAGCAAUGAUGUCCUGGGUACCCCUUGCCACUCGCUUCCUUUUUCUGAGCCUAUUUUCUUAUCAGUAACACAAUGAGUCAAUUUCAUACCUUUUCAUCCACCCAGAAGUCCAUCUUUUUGUUGUCUGUUUAACAUCUACUAUAUUUAUUGUUUUUAAUAGCCACUAUUUCAGAUCAUUUAUAUUAUUAAUAAAAAUUGAUUUCUAUUGAACAUUUAGUAUUUACCAGAAUUGUGCCAUGUGCUUUCCAUGUGUUCUAAUAUUUAAUUCCUCAUGAGGAGGAACCCUUGUGAUUGCAGACUCACAGAUAUGACAGCUGAAGUUAAGGAAGGUGACAUAAAUUUCCCAAGGUCAAUCAGAGAGUAAGUGGCAAAGCUGGGAUUUGAGCCUGAACCUUUUUUUUUUUUUUUUUGAAAACUACACUGCUUUCAUGAGCCCUGUAGCCCCUGGUCAGAGUCUGACCAGAGAGGAAAAUGCAGAAUCAAACUCCCUUGCCCUGGGCUUCCCUGGUGGCGCAGUGGUUGAGAGUCUGCCUGCCGAUGCA